CUGCUGCUUUGUGCGUGGAGUUCGUCGAUGCUCCACCGCUGGGUACCGAAGCUUCGAAACCCCCCCUUUAUCCCUUUGUUCUUCGCUGCUCAUGUUGAGCAGAGAGUCAAACAUUGUUGCAGGUUUGGUGUUGUGAGCUCAGGACUUUGAAGUGAAGCAAGAUAAAGAUGUCGUCGUAGCUUAUGGAUUGAGUUUGUAUUUUAGAUAGUCAAUUAAGGAAUAGUUUCUGAUAUAUUUCGUUGUAUACAAUAUUUGAGAAUAUUAGUCGAGAUAUCGGUGUAAUUGAAGUCUUAUAUAAAGGAUUUUUUUUGUGGGCCCAUAACCCACAGGUUUCA